rnacentral:rRNA from 1 species
UACGUAGGUCCCGAGCGUUGUCCGGAUUUAUUGGGCGUAAAGCGAGCGCAGGUGGUUUAUUAAGUCUGGUGUAAAAGGCAGUGGCUCAACCAUUGUAUGCAUUGGAAACUGGUAGACUUGAGUGCAGGAGAGGAGAGUGGAAUUCCAUGUGUAGCGGUGAAAUGCGUAGAUAUAUGGAGGAACACCGGUGGCGAAAGCGGCUCUCUGGCCUGUAACUGACGCUGAGGUUCGAAAGCGUGGGGAGCAAAUAGG